rnacentral:rRNA from 1 species
GAGGAAUAUUGGUCAAUGGGCGGGAGCCUGAACCAGCCAAGUCGCGUGAAGGAAGAAGGAUCUAUGGUUCGUAAACUUCUUUUGCAGGGGAAUAAAGUGCAGGACGUGUCCUGUUUUGUAUGUACCCUGAGAAUAAGGAUCGGCUAACUCCGUGCCAGCAGCCGCGGUAAUACGGAGGAUCCGAGCGUUAUCCGGAUUUAUUGGGUUUAAAGGGUGCGUAGGUGGUUUGAUAAGCCAGCGGUGAAAGUUUACGGCUCAACCGUGAAAUUGCAGUUGAUACUGUAUGUCUGGAGUGUACAAGAGGUGGGCGGAAUUCGUGGUGUAGCGGUGAAAUGCUUAGAUAUCACGAAGAACUCCAAUUGCGAAGGCAGCUCACUGGGGUACAACUGACACUGAGGCUCGAAAGUGUGGGUAUCAAAC